CACACGACUCUCGGCAACGGAUAUCUCGGCUCUUGCAUCGAUGAAGAACGUAGCAAAAUGCGAUACCUGGUGUGAAUUGCAGAAUCCCGUGAACCAUCAAGUUUUUGAACGCAAGUUGCGCCCGAGGCCAUUUGGUUGAGGGCACGUCUGCCUGGGCGUCACGC
rnacentral:rRNA from 3 species